GACGAACGCUGGCGGCGUGCUUAACACAUGCAAGUCGAACGAUGAAGAAAAGAAUCGAAGCUUCGGCAGAAAUUCAUUUCGGAUUAGUGGCAGACGGGUGAGUAACGCGUGAGCAACCUACCUCUUACAAAGGGAUAGCCUCGGGAAACCGGGAUUAAUACCAUAUAACAUUGUGACGAAGCAUUUCGAUGCAAUCAAAGCUACGGCGGUAAGGGAUGGGCUCGCGUCCCAUUAACCGGAUGGUGAGGUAACGGCUCACCAUAGUGACGAUGGGUAACCGGCCUGAGAGGGUGAACGGUCACACUGGAACUGAGACACGGUCCAGACUCCUACGGGAGGCAGCAGUGGGGAAUAUUGCACAAUGGAGGGAACUCUGAUGCAGCGACGCCGCGUGAGUGAUGAAGGAAUUCGUUUCGUAAAACUCUGUUCUAUGGGAAGAAAAGGACUGUACCAUAGGAGAAAGCUCCGGCUAAAUACGUG
rnacentral:rRNA from 1 species